AUUAUUUAUGGGAUUCGUUUCAGAAAUUUGAUACCUUAACAUCUUAACAAGGAAGGUCAGGUACAGUGGCUCAGACCUAUAAUCCCAGCACUUUGGGAGACCGAGUAGUGAAGACUGCUUGAGGCCAGGAGUUCAAGACAAGUCUGGGCCACAUAGUGAGACCCCCAUCUCUUUAAAAAAAGAAAACCCAGCACUUUGGGAGGCCGAGGCGGGUGGAUCACGAGGUCAACAGAUCGAGACCAUCUUGGUCAACAUGGUGAAACCCCGUCUCUACUAAAAUUACAAAAAAUUAGCUGGGCACGGUGGUGCGUGCCUGUAAUCCCAGCUACUCGGGAGGCUGAGGCAGGAGAAUUGCCCGAACCCAGGAGGCGGAGAUUGCGGUGAGCCGAGAUCGCGCCAUUGCACUCCAGCCUGGGUAACAAGAGCGAAACUCCGUCUCAAAAAAAAAAAAGAAAACCCCAAAAACCUAGCUGGAUUUGGUGGCAUGUGCUGUAGUCCUUCCUACAUGAGGCUGAGGUGGGAGGGUUGCUUGAGCCCACAGGUUCAAGGGUACAGUGAGCCAUGAUCACCACACUACAGUCCAGCCUGCGUGACAGAGCAAGACCUUGUCUUUAGAGAGAGAGACAGAGAACGAGAGAAAUAUUCAACAGGCAGCAUGAAAUCAUGUUCUAAAUCCAUACUUUUUUUCCCUGAAGAUAUUUGUUCAACAACAUAUGAACCAAAUAAUGGAAACUGACAGUGUGUGUGUGUGUGUGUGUGUGUGUGUGUGUAUGUGUUUGUGUGUGUGUGUUGGGGAGGGGUUUCACUCUUGUUACCUAGGCUGGGGUGCAAUGGCAUGAUCUCGGCUCACUGCAACCUCUGCCUCCCCGGUUGAGGUGAUUCUCCUCCCUCAGCCUCCUGUGUAGCUGGGAUUGCAGACGCACACCACCACGCCCAGUUGUAUUUUUAGUAGAGACGGGGUUUCACCAUGUUGGUCAGGCUGAUCUCAAACUCCUGACCUUGUGAUCCACCAGCCUCGGCCUCCCAAAGUGCUGCAAUUACAGGCUUGAGCACCAUGCCCGGCCCCAAACUUAUUUUUAAUGUGUCCCAC
rnacentral:lncRNA from 1 species